CGUCAAGAUUAAGCCACUGCAUGUUCUAAGUAUAGCAUCUAUACCGUGAAACUGCGAAUGGCUCAUUAAAUCAGUUAUCGUUUAUUUGAUAGUACCUUACUACUUGGAUACCCGUGGUAAUUCUAGAGCUAAUACAUGCUAAAAACCCCAACUUCGGGAGGGGUGUGUUUAUUAGAUAAAAAACCAACGCCCUUCGGGGCUCCUUGGUGAUUCAUGAUAACUUCUCAGAUCGCAUGGCCUUGCGCCGGCGACGGUUCAUUCAAAUUUCUGCCCUAUCAACUUUCGAUGGUAAGGUAUUGGCUUACCAUGGUUUCAACGGGUAACGGGGAAUUAGGGUUCGAUUCCGGAGAGCGAGCCUGAGAAACGGCUAGCACAUCCAAGGAAGGCAGCAGGCGCGCAAAUUACCCAAUCCCGACACGGGGAGGUAGUGACAAUAAAUACUGAUACAGGGCUCUUUUGGGUCUUGUAAUCGGAAUGAGUACAAUUUAAACCUCUUAACGAGGAACAAUUGGAGGGCAAGUCUGGUGCCAGCAGCCGCGGUAAUUCCAGCUCCAAUAGCGUAUAUUAAAGUUGUUGCAGUUAAAAAGCUCGUAGUUGACCAUUUGGCCUGGCUGGCAGGUCCGCCUCACCGCGUGCACUUGUCCGGCCGGGCCUUUCUUUCUGGAGAACCGCAUGCCCUUCACUGGGCGUGUUGGGGACCAGGACUUUUACUUUGAAAAAAUUAGAGUGUUCAAAGCAGGCCUUUGCUCGAAUACGUUAGCAUGGAAUAAUAGAAUAGGACGCGCGGUCCUAUUUUGUUGGUUUCUAGGACCGCCGUAAUGAUUAAUAGGGACAGUCGGGGGCAUCAGUAUUCAAUUGUCAGAGGUGAAAUUCUUGGAUUUAUUGAAGACUAACUACUGCGAAAGCAUUUGUCAAGGAUGUUUUCAUUAAUCAGUGAACGAAAGUUAGGGGAUCGAAGACGAUCAGAUACCGUCGUAGUCUUAACCAUAAACUAUGCCGACUAGGGAUCGGGCGGUGUUAUUUAUUUGACCCGCUCGGCACCUUGCGAGAAAUCAAAGUGUUUGGGUUCUGGGGGGGGAGUAUGGUCGCAGRCUGAACUAGUAGAUUUUUCUCAUUAGACGAAGAC
rnacentral:rRNA from 1 species